UGGGGAAUAUUGCACAAUGGGCGCAAGCCUGAUGCAGCCAUGCCGCGUGUGUGAAGAAGGCCUUCGGGUUGUAAAGCACUUUCAGCGAGGAGGAAGGCGUUAAGGUUAAUAACCUUGGCGAUUGACGUUACUCGCAGAAGAAGCACCGGCUAACUCCGUGCCAGCAGCCGCGGUAAUACGGAGGGUGCAAGCGUUAAUCGGAAUUACUGGGCGUAAAGCGCACGCAGGCGGUUUGUUAAGUCAGAUGUGAAAUCCCCGAGCUUAACUUGGGAACUGCAUUUGAAACUGGCAAGCUAGAGUCUUGUAGAGGGGGGUAGAAUUCCAGGUGUAGCGGNUGAAAUGCGUAGAGAUCUGGAGGAAUACCGGUGGCGAAGGCGGCCCCCCUGGACAAAAGACUGACGCU
rnacentral:rRNA from 1 species